UUCCGGUUGAUCCUGCCGGACCUGACUGCUAUCGGAUUGAUACUARGCCAUGCGAGUCAUUGUAGCAAUACAAGGCAUACGGCUCAGUAACGCGUAGUCAACCUACCCUAUGGACGGAAAUAACCUCGGGAAACUGAGAAUAAUAUCCGAUAGAACAUUAUGCCUGGAAUGGUUUAUGUUCCAAAUGAUUUAUCGCCGUAGGAUGGGACUGCGGCCUAUCAGUUUGUUGGUGAGGUAAUGGCCCACCAAGACUAUUACAGGUACGGGCUCUGAGAGGAGUAGCCCGGAGAUGGGUACUGAGACACGGACCCAGGCCCUAUGGGGCGCAGCAGGCGAGAAAACUUUGCAAUGUGCGAARGCACGACAAGGUUAAUCCGAGUGAUUUCUGCUAAAGAAAUCUUUUGUUAGUCCUAGAAACACUAACGAAUAAGGGGUGGGCAAGUUCUGGUGUCAGCCGCCGCGGUAAAACCAGCACCUCAAGUGGUCAGGAUGAUUAUUGGGCCUAAAGCAUCCGUAGCCGGCUCUGUAAGUCCUCGGUUAAAUCUGUACGCUUAACGUACAGGCUGCCGGGAAUACUGCAUAGCUAGGGAGUGGGAGAGGUAGACGGUACUCGGUAGGAAGGGGUAAAAUCCUUUGAUCUAUUGAUGACCACCUGUGGCGAAGGCGGUCUACCAGAACACGUCCGACGGUGAGGGAUGAAAGCUGGGGGAGCAAACCGGAUUAGAUACCCGGGUAGUCCCAGCUGUAAACUAUGCAAACUCAGUGAUGCAUUGGCUUGUGGCCAAUGCAGUGCUGCAGGGAAGCCGUUAAGUUUGCCGCCUGGGAAGUACGUACGCAAGUAUGAAACUUAAAGGAAUUGGCGGGGGAGCACCACAAGGGGUGAAGCCUGCGGUUCAAUUGGAGUCAACGCCGG
rnacentral:rRNA from 2 species